AGCACAGAGCCCAAUGCGGGGCUGGAACUCACAAGCUGCAAGAUCGUGACCUGAGCCAAAGUCGGAUGGUUAACCGACUGAGCCAUCCAGGCGCCCCUAAAUAGUAAUUUCUUAAUCUUUUUAUAAUUAUACCCAUGUAUUAUCAAACCACUGCCUUUACAAGUCUUGUGUAACUCUCCUUGGCAAUUCUGAUUCCCUCCCCCCCCCUUCCCCCCCAGUGAAGAGUUGGUAUUCUGGAUGAACCCAAAAAUUCUUUGGUCACUUUCCUUCUCCAUUUUUGUCUCUUCAGGAGUAAGUGGAGUUGUCAGGUUGGCAGAUAAACCUGUUCAAGUGUGUGAAUGGCUGGUUUUAAAGUAGUAAAAUUGUACUUUUUAUUACCAUAAUGUCUAUAAAAAGAAUUGGGUGAUGGAAGUUGGUACUAUCAGAGACAGCACCUGUGAACAAAGUCACGUGUAUGUGUGUAUAGAGUGUUUGUGUAAAUAUCUGUACCUUAAUACAUUUGUUUCCCUCCAGCCUAAGCUCCUACCUGAUGGACUGGUUUUGCUGCCCCCCCCUCCCCCGCUCUCUCCCUUCUCUGCCUGCCAGGAGCCUCUGCCCUGCUCCCUGCAUUCCAGGUUUGCUGAACUGCUGUGCUCCCCCUGACUGCCAUGCUGUUUCGUCCAUUUUCCCAUCUCGUAAUUUAUCGUCUGUCUGAUGCCCUUUCGGACGCUCCCUCGUUCCUCCGUCUGCACUGUGUCUUUGGAGACCCACCUCAGAUAUCGUGUCUUGGUAGCCUUUCCUGACAGUGGAGAAGACUCGGAUCCCGGUUGCGUGGGCGUGCUGAGCUCCCGAACUUGGCACUUGCACAACCGGUUACUGAUAGCAGUACUGUGCUGAUUUCACGUUGUGUCUCUUUACCUCUUCUAAAGUACAGGGUGGACUUUGUCAUUUGUACUUCCAGCUUCUCUUAAUACAGGGCUCGGAGCUGACAGACACAAUAAAUACUUGCUGCCUGACCAGCUUAAUGAAUGAAUAAAUGAAUGUACUGUUUUCUGAAGUUUCUGUCUUGUUCAGUACAGGAGAGAGCAGCAAGGCAGGCACCUAGAGAGAAUGAAGAGGGUGUUGAUGUUGUCGAGACAGUGCUCCGGGACUGUAGACAUGAAGCGAAGUUGUGACUUGGUGGGUGGUGUGCGGGCGAGAGGAAGAGAGGAGUCACAUGACGAAGAGCCUGUUGGAUCACCCUGGUUAUCUUGUGCUUGAAACGUGCUCAGAACGUGCUUGAAACGUGCCAGAAACAUGUGGGCAGGCCGUGCUUGACAACGACAACUGGGGAGACUCCUCAUCUGUUAGGUGCUGUUCGGGAGGCCUGCAUCUUAACACGUGUGUGAGGUUCAUGGGUGAGAAAUGAUGAAGGGUGGCUGGUCAAGGGGAGGAGAUGAGGGGCAGCUCCCAGGAGCGACCUCACCCCCAUGUGACAGUGAUGGGGAUCUGCACACACUGGGAGUGGUGACUGGGGUGGGUCCUGUGUGCUUGAGGAGGCCACAGGGCCACCUGUAGCUCAUACAGACCCUUUGUGCCGAUGGAAGAAGGCCUCCAUUGGGGAGAUGGCCAGAAGCUGUGUGCCCACUCUGGCAGGUAUGCCCCUUUGGGCACCAGGCCUGGUGGGCAAAGCACCCCCUUGGUGGCACACACUGUCCGGCUCUACCUGGUGGCCUCAGGGUAAGACAGGCUUAGUCCUCAGCCUCUUGCAGCUUGUAUUUAGGGACAGGGGCAGACCAGUACACGGAGAAACGAAGGUUGGGAGCGGUUUCCGUUCGCUCAGGGGGAGGCCUGAGGAGGGGACCUGGCGUCAAAUGGCUGGUGCGGCACGAUGUCACGAACAGGAAGCGUAGGAGGUACAGGCCAGCUUUGUGUCGUGGACGGUUGCGGAUGUCUUCAGGUUUCCUCCCCGCUUGGGUUUUAGUUCAUCCUGGGCCUCUUUGGCUUCUCUGUGGUUGUUUGAAGGGUCACGUGGAGCCGGGUCAGGCCAGCCAGGGACUAGUCCCAUCUGAGAGCUGUGCUUGUUUGGGAGUGUGGGUGCAGGGGCAUGGCAGUCCGCUCUUCUCUGGGAGGCUGAGGUGCUGGUCUCCCUUUGACUCCGUCGCAGCCCUGCCUUCGUGAGGAAAGGGAGUACCAGCUCCUCCCCUUGUUGCCCUGGACCUGCGGGCCUGCUUGGACGGUAGACACCAGCGGCCUGCAGCGUAGGUAGGACCCCGGCAUCCCAGGGAGCCCCAGGUCCCUCCAGGAGCUUAAGGAGGGAAUUCCCUAAGCAGAGUACACCACAGAUCAACAAAAAUGGGGUGUGGGGGGACACCGAGACCUUACAAUACAUGGAAGAAUGCCCUAGUGUGCACCUAGGAUGUUUUGGAAAGAAACCAGAUGACCUCCUGUAGCCUGGGUCAGGGCAUCUAGGUGAAGAAAGACUCGCUGUGGGGCCGUUUGGCACGCGGGGUUGUGUAAGUCACAUGUAAAACUGCAUGUUGGUUCGUGGCAUUUUCUGUGGGCAGAUGGCAGGUCCCCUCGCCCUGCGGUCCCCCUGCCCUCUGAUUUGGGCGUUUCUCCUGUACAAGACGGGGGCCCUGAAGCGUCUGGGAAAAGAAGCUGGAACAGGCACAGGACAUAGGCCACCAGGAUGCUGGUCGCCAGUGGUCGUGCCCAGUGGCGAUGCUCCCCUGGACCCAGGGUUGUCCUCCCUGACGUGAGGCCACCAAGCUGAAAAGACUUUCUUCAGUUUCUCCCGGUGUAAAAGGCUUCCACUGUGCGAGGACUCAGGAAUCAUGCCCAGAACACAGCAUGGUGCAAACUGUCACUCGUCUUCCUACUUGUUCACCGUAAACGGUGGCCGAACACGCCACCCCAAGAUGGCCACCCCACUUUGGCAUAAGAUGAUUUGAGCAAAAGGCACUUGAAAAACAGCAGGUACAAGAAGAGCGUCCGUAUCUCCCCCUUUCUUCCUGAGAGCAGGACACAGACCAGGGUGAAGUUGCUGUCCCUGCACCAGGGGGAAGGAAGUGGUCUUGCCAAGGGGACGGGAGCCCAGGCCGAGAGAAUUCUUGUUGAAAUAACUCCUAUCCAGGGACGCUGGAAGGUUAAAAAAUAUGUAAAGAACAAAUGAAGUAAAAAGGAAGAGACACAAGUUGCCUACAGCACAGGAAGUUGGGAACGUGGGAGCCGUGUUUAUGAAGAAUGUUCGACAACAGUGGAAUCUGUCCACAGCAUGCUGUUCAUGGAGGGCAAGCGGCGGUGUUGGGAUGUGUCCCUUGAUGGUGGCCCAACUUGAGGGGUCCCUGGGCUCCCAGGAGACAGCCAGCCUGGGGGAAUCUCCUCCUGACAGGAGUCUCACUGGACGGACACCUGCACUUCUCGUGGUGGAAUGAGGAUGAGGGAUGUGCACUUUCUGGCCAGAUCGAGGCCCAGGCUCACUGGCCAGUGGUCUUCUGCCACCCUCUGCAGUUCUCCCAGGCAGACCCCAGCACAGAGAUGCAGGUCAACUGUGUUCUAUAAUACCCAUACGUAGUGAACCCAGUGCCUGAAAUGGAAAGACUGACAGUACUAAGUAUCAGCACGGGUGUGUAGCUGCCGAGAUUCUGCAGGCCUGCCAGUGGAUGUUUCAGGUCACAGGGCAAUGAGUCAAGAAGCAGAGCUAGGCUGAGUCAAGGCCACAGCCCAGGAACUGUGGCGCUGCUCACCCCUUUGCCCUUCCUUCUUCACAAGCAGGAGGCCUGGGCGCCUUGGGAAACAAAUACAUAAGCAGAAGGCAAGGACAGAGGAGUAGCUUCUUGGAAUUUGAUGUAAAAGUUCAGGCCUUAAGUUGGAUAAAGUCAGCGAGAAGGAUUUGGGAGGAAACAUGCUAAGUGAGAGCCAGGCCCUUCUGCCUCUGUUCCUCGGGGUGCCGAACGCAGCCAGCUGAGAACUUUGCAUGGGCCUCUCCAGAGGGCUGCUCCAGGACCAGAGCUGGGAGACUGGUUACACUGCAGGAGAACCCAUUCAGGUAUGUUCAAAACUCAGGCUUGCUCUCUCCCCAGUGAAGGCCUUUGCUCUGUGGGCCGACAAGGAUGACUGGGGCUCCACCCGCCAGCUGGGAAGACCACCAACCCCCUGGGGGCCGCUUCGCUUCUAAUGGUCACCCACAGGGGCCUGUUGGGAGGCAGCCAUUGCUUCCCACGCUGCCUGUCAGCAGUCUUGACCUUUCACAGGCUGUGGGACGGUGGACGUGUGAUCCUCUUGUGGGUGGGGCCAGGUCCCCCUGAGCAGGGGUGUCUGGUGACGGCUGGGUUCCCACUUUGAGUGCAGUGCUGGGCGGUCCGGGAUCUACUGAGGCCUUCUUAGGGCCUCAAGGGGAGUCCGCAGCCUAGGGCGGCAGCAGGACUCUGGGAGAGUUGGGGGCUUGACCACGAACACCUCAUGAUCUUCGAGUCUGGUGUAGACAAAUACGCUGAAUGAACAAAUGGGGAAUUGAGGAACGCGUGAGCCAGCGCACGUCUCCUGGAAACCGAACUUGGAAUAGGUCGUUUUCACUACGCGUCCCAGGGUCCCUAACAGACCCCGUCCUCUGAUUCCCCCUCCGUCCCUGCUGGAGGCCCAGAUCUGGCUCACCUGGCUCUGGGUAGGGGUGGGGAAGGCUUGAGAGGGAGGCUUCCAGGUGACCACCAGUCUUGCUGCACUGCGGGGUCUAUUGGGGCCCUCUCGGCUGGCACCACUGGUGGGUGGCAGGUCAUUGGGGUGCAGGAGCUGGUGCUCACACCCGGCCUGCCCGUGGUGAGCUCGGGGGCCCUCAUGCAGAGGUCCCCCGGGUCAGAGGGUAGACACAAGGCUCUUCUAACGGCACUGGGAUAAGAGAGGAGGCUCCACUGCCUAACUCAGGCUCUUCCCUCAUUGUCGUGUGGCCGUGAGAGCGCCUUUGUCCAGGUUAGUCUUCGCCCCUGCAGACGCCCCUCUUGACAUGUUUCCCAGCCUGUGUGGUUGAAGGAGACGACCACAUGGCCUCAGGAACCUGUGGGGGCAGCUCGGACAGGAAGCCCCUCGUGGCUCAGCCACUUGCCACUGGAGCCCGAGUCUUUGGGGCACCAUCUCCGCUGGCCGCUCUCCCUCUCGGUGCCUCUGAGGGCCGGUGAUGUUGCUGCUCGCUGAGCAUUAGACUCCAGACAAGCAGCAGUUUUCAUGAAGUCCUAGCGGGUUGGUAUCAGCAGUGCCACCUGAACAGAGUGGUGCAGCUGGGGACCCCGCGGUGGGGGAGCAGUGGAGCUGGGACCCCCAGCCUCUGGUCUUGACCACUCGACAGGCUUCUGCAGCCUCCCAGGAGCAUGUGGCCUUGCUCUGGGCUGGAUCCUGCUCUGUCUGAAUGGAGCCACGUGUCUGACCAUGCGGGCGCCGUAAUUCCCAAGAGUCUCCGGGGCCCGGCAUGGCAUUUGCACACGAGAGAGCCACUUACUGAGCCACUGUGGGGUGACUGACCGAGUGCAAGUACACAUGUAGGGGAAGCAAGGAACAGAGACACUUCCCCCCACAACCAAACCCAAUGGAGUAUAGGAGUGGAAAUGAACAUCUCCCCCACUUUCUGAUUCAUGCCGUCAGCAGAAACGUGGCUGUUCAAGCACCACGCUGGAAGCAGCUGCCAUAUGCUCACCCGGCCAUCCAGCGCCGUUCAGCAGUGCUCCCUGUCAGAAGAAAUGGUGACAGGUGCUGGUGGACCGGGCGUCUCUCUGCAGGGAGGAGAUGCCACUGAAAGCCAAGUCUGAUUUGCUCUGUGAUAUAGAACUUCUACAUAAGCGUAAAAAGUAACUAGCUCAGCUCUUUAAAAAACCGAUUUCUUGGCGAUCACAGCAGCUAGAAUUUGAAAUGGGCUACAUGAGGCAGGGCGCCUUCUAGGGGUUCAGCUGGACUAGUCUCCCUCGUGGAGCAGAGGGGGUGCGUGCUGCCCUCCCCUCAGUCUCAUCCACACGGCCCAUUCGCCCCAGGGCAGUGUCCAGCCACAGGCCUGGAUGACGAGGGGCAGAGAAUGCUGGUGGAAAAAGAAGGUAAUGAGCUCCUGCGGGGAAGGAGGCAGGUGCCUAAGCAGUGCCAGGACACCCAGGUGGCCCGGACUGCCAACCCAACCCUCACCUGUGGCGGGUUCUAUUCGGGCCUGUGAGCCGGGCCCGGGCUGUGCCCACUGCACAGGCGGGCAGAUCCAGAAGCGUGGGAUGGAGCAUGUGGGCCUGAAUGUGAUGUGAAUGUGGCGUGUUUCUGCAUGUGGGCGUGUGUGAGUGUGUGUGAAUGUGCACACGUGUGAAUGUGCUGAAGGCAACCAUAGCAUUGGUCUUGGGUUUUAUUCUAGGCUGACCGUAUGCCCUCACUUCCUUGGUUCCUCAUCUGUCCCGGACAUCAUGGGGAGAAGGCAAAGGAUGGGUGGGGCGGUGCCUGGCCAUGUGCCAAGCCACCCAGAGAUCAUGCCCAGGGCAGAUGUCACCCCGGCAAAAGGAGCAGCCUCCACAAGGCCUGGUCUACGCUGGGCCCCAGGGGCUGUAAUCACAGCCCUGUGCUUCCUGUCAUGCUUCAGCUUCCCUGUGGUCUCUCUGGAUAGCACAGCCACACCCACACCCACAUCCACCCCCCUCUGGCUGCAGCCUGCAGCCCCGUGGUUCAUGCUUCUCUGAGCCCAGCCUGACUCUGGUUCCCUCUUAGGACUGCUUCUCCUUUGCGAGCAUUUUCUCCUUUUCUCUUCCUGACAUGCUUUGCUGCAUCGUCAUGCAGAAUUAAGUCCAAGAUGAUUUCAGGCAGGUACUCCCAACCCUGAGACAGGUUUUAAAAUAGCGACAGGAUUAACAUCCCACUUCCCAGCUGAGUGCUGUGAAGACUCUGCGAAUGCGUUUUCCGUUUGCAAACUUGCUAACGUAAAUCCCACAGGGAAAAGGAAAUUGCUGAUCUAUUUUGGAGUGCAAGUAUUUCCUCUGAUGGGUUUGCUUCCUUUAGAAGGGUCCAAAUAAAGCUCUGCACAGAUCCCUGCUUGUUUCUGCCCUUUUGCGAAAAUUGAACGUAUGAAUCUCCUCCGUGGCCUUUAUUGAUCAAGGCCAAAUCACAAAGAUCAGUUACCACUGUGGAAAGCAAGACAGAGUCAUGAAGCAUGGCAGAAGGAGACCACGCCGUGGUCAGCAAUGCGUCUGAUUGGGAGACUGCUGGUCAGGGGGAAGUUGGGCUCUUCAGGGUUCCCGUGGAUACCUUUCGCCUGCUCGCUUCCUGCCAGGUCCUGCUUUGCCCCAACAGCAAAGGCAGGCAACGUGCCGCUCACUGUGUUCACGGAAGCCGAUGUUUGUCUCUUCAGCUGUGAUGCCCUUUCUUGCCCAGGCUUCCUGAAUCGCCUCAUCUCAUCUCCGUGGACAUCUUUGUCCUCACACAUCUUUGGUUCCCGUGUGGUUAGUCCCAGAUGGGUAGGAAACAAGGCGGAAAAGGACACAGGACCUGACACUUCCCCGCAGUCUCUUGGUAUGGAGCUACCAGGGGAUCCUGUGGCUUUUAGGUGGGAGAGCCGCUAUGGGCACACACAUGGGGCACGGUCCAUGAGAGCCCCUGGGGUGGCCCCAGGGCAUGUGUAGUUUUUGGAGAUUUGUCUGUGCAAAUGCUCAGCCAAGGGGCAGAUCGCAAGGCCUGCUGGGCAGCUGCUUGGAGUGUGGAAGCUGAGGGAAUGAGACAAAAGGUGUGGCACAGGUGGGAUUGGGCCACGAGCCCCAUGGCACCAGAGAAGGGACAGUUGCGUGUGAACCGUUGGGCUGACAUCCCUGCAUCGAGGGUGCCAGCAAGGCCUCUCCACGUGGGCCUCAGACUCCGCCUGUCCUGCUCGCCUGGUCUUCGCGUCUUCCCGCUUCGUCCUUGUUGACUCUAGUCCCAGCAGGACAGACUCUCCAGGAAGACCCGCCUGAAACCGGUCUCUCAUCUUCUUGGGAGAAGGGACUCCUCCCACUCACCUUGUGAGCAUGUGCGCUCACUGUGUGCUCCGUCCAUCCUGAGAAAGUGUAGCAUGGAUUCUCUCCACAGGAGGAUGUUUACCAGUCCUUUAUCAGAAGAGAGGACAAGGCCUCAGGUGGUCAGGAGCUCCGACAGAGGUGGGGUGGGCUCCAGCCCGGCCUCCGCCUCCAUCGGCUGCAAACCUGCCAUGCACCUUUGUGAAGGUGUCUUCUUCACUGAUUAAGGAGGCGCCUCAGCUCCCCUUGGCCCUGGCCUCAUCCUUCGAGCCCAUUCCCAGGGUGCAUGGAUGGGGGAGGUUCCGUUCUACCAGGAGAGCCCCAGGGCCCAGCCACCCCGUCUGGCGCAGUUCAGGGAGCAUCCCGUCCAGCCUCAGAUUCUCCCUUUUCUUCUCUUAGCUUUCUUUCUGACGACACUUUAGAUUACUUCUGUAAUUCUUCUAGAUUUUAAGCCCCUUGGGGAAGGGACCCAGUCUCUAUCACUUGGAUACAAACUCUAAUAUCUUCAUCACGUUAAGUGAUUACUGGGCUUAGCUGUGUGCGUCCUGGAGGGCCUGAUGCUUCUGGCUCAUCCUCAUAUGACGACGUGAGUCAAACCCAAGGCUUGUCUCUCAGUGGGCCCUGCAAGUCCGGAGGGCCAACACCCAUCCCUGGACCCCACAUCAGAGGUAGGUCAGGCCUCGGUGAGUCAUGUCAGCUCUCAGCACUCCAGACUCUUCGUCUGCUUGAAGUACAACAGCACCCGCUUGAUGAGGCUGGCAAGAAGGACAGAUUAUAUUACAGUCAUUGGUAGAAAGUUACAAAGCAAUUAGUUCAUCGUGAGUACUCAAGAAAUGGUACGAAAUAAAUGUCACCAAUUUGUGUUCUUGAACGGAGUUGGAUUGCGGUCAUGGCCCUCUGCUUCUGGAAUGGAUGAACAUAUUGGUGUUUUCGCUUUUUUCCUUUGCCCUCGUAUGAUGCCAGAUGAGGGAUCCGUCUUUUGGAGCCUCCACAUUCUCUCUGCCGUCUAAGCCACUGAUCAGGCUCUCUGCAAGCCUCGGAGCAGCUCAAAGAUGAGACGAUGAGAUGAGACCUGCGGUUUCUCCAGGAUGCAGAGGAAAGAGCGGGACACCCAGGACGAGCCCCGCUGGGAUGAGGCAGCCUCGGGUGGAGGGAACCAAAGGCAACCCCAGCUAUGGAAGCGGGGUGGCCACCGGGGUGGAGCAGGGGGAAUGCCACACCUGUCCCCGGGGCUGUGGGUUUGCACCCAGUCCGGACAGCGCACUCCUGGGAGACGAGUGCGCCCCCAGGAGCCACCCAGGGCUCUCAGAAGGUCCCCUCCAGUCCUCAAGAGUGACCUUCCAUUCCAGUGCCAGCAGCUCAGACAUGACAUCUCGGGGAGUUGGUCUCUACUGGGCUAUCUCAUUGUCUGAGAGGUCCUCUGUCCCCAACGGGCUCCUGGUGACAUGGCCCCUGGGUCUGUGCUAGCUGUGUGUGCACAUUUGCCCGUACCUAAGCCGUGAAUGAGCGUGAGCCGUGAGCACGGGUGUGCGAUCUCACUCUUCUGGGCCUGGUGAUCUCCAUCAGGGCGGGGUGUCCAGGGAUGCCUCACUGGCCGCUGGCUGUGCCCCAGAGCCCAGAACAAACCCGGCAGUGUCUCCGUCCACACUUCUGAUGGAUGAAUGGUGUUGUCAACAUUAGCAUUCCCCCUGGAAGCCGUUUGAUGCCCUAGUGUCUGUGAAUCCGCAAAUCAGUCCUUUUCUGCUGUUUCUGGUCAUACUUAGCUUCAGAUUAGCCCUUGGCGAUUUGGAACCUGUAGGUGCCAGUGGCUGUGUGUCUGAUUGCCGCCGGCGUGUGUAGUCAUGGGAAGUGUGGCCAGACGUGGGAGCUGAGAAUCACAGUGCAGUCAGCUGCCCAGCUCUGCCUUGCGUGGCCUGGGGUGUGCAGGUCUCUGGGCAUGCUGUCUGUCACACCAGCCUCCCAGUGGGGGCCAAGGAGGGCAGAUAGGAGUGGGGCUGUCUUAUGUCCUCUCUUACAGGGAAGAUGGCUCUUCAGAAUCCCUUCCACUCACAGCUGUCCCUCAACCUCUGGGUGCACAGUGCACUCACCCUGGACCAUCAGCGUCUGAGGUGUCACCUGGGGGGCCAGGGACCCAACACUGCCCAUCACAGACCGCUAGUUCUGGCCACGCUGAGAGGCUGGAGGGUGCCCACGGCAAAGUCCACUGAGCCCGACAGCCCCGAGGGGAAGCAGCUCUCAGCUCUGCCUCCCCUCCUGCUCCUGGCUGUGUUGGGCACGGGCCACCGCAUCGCCAAGCACAGAGGGCAGCAUCACACGGUGCCCACCACGGAGGGUGCCCCCAGAACUGGGCAAGGCGGAGGUCCCACCUCCCCGGGAAUUGUGCUGCCCAGAGCGCUGCACAGCCACACCCACCUGUCUGUCAGCUCACCUGGUGUCUGCACCACAGCAGAGCUGAGGGAGGGGGGCUCUCCUCUAAAGCAGAUGCCGUGACCCUAUCAGGGCUGCAGGGGGCAAGGGAAAGGGCUCCUCAUCACUAGUGGUGUUCGAGCCGAGAUGUAGGUGGUGUGGGGCAGGGGUAACAGCGAACGUGGGUUCAGAUCCUGACGCCACCACUUGUUAACCGAGGGUCAAUGGGAAAAUCAUUUGACCUUCGUCAUCCCCACUUCCCUCCUCUGUAAAACAGGGUCGCUGUUGUACCUCCUUACGGGGAAGUCAUAUGAGAAGGUCUUUGUUAAGUACUCAGGACAGUCCCAGGUCAUGGUGAGCUCCCCAUCCACACUGGAAAGCAACUGCUCUGUUUUCAUUGCUGCAGAAUUGUCGUCAACACUGUGGAGAUGCUGACGUCAGGUGCUGACAUCAGGCUUACAGUGUCUGGCAUGAUCCCCCCCGACCUGGGGGUUGCACUCCAUCCCUCCCCUGCCCCACCUGGUCUCCUUCUGCAGCCACACAGCUCUCCUUGCUGCUCUGCAGGUUCACCAUACAAUUCCCACCUCAGGACCUUUGCAUGUGCUGUGCCUCUAGUGGGUGCUCUUUCCGCAGGUCUGCACUUGGCUGGUUCCUUCCCAUCAACCAAGUGACCCCUCCUCACACGGCCUGACCUCAACCACACCCACUCAAGAGCUAGAGCCCCUCCUGCACUCACCCCAGCAGCUUUACAACCUGCCUUGCAUUUGUUACCUUACCUUACAGGGCUAAUUUAGGUUUCCUCACCAGAACAUGAGCUGCAGGAAGGCCAUCACUGAUUAUGUUUUGCCAUAAUGCAGGGUAUGUGGUGGGUGCUUGGUUCAUCUGUGCUGGGUACACUGAGUGAACUCAGUGAAUGAAGAAAUCAUUAUUAUUUGAAGAUCUUGACUACGUUCUUGUUCAGGCACAGCACCCCCCCCCCCCCCUCCAGCCACCCGUCCUCACAGCUCAGCGUCAGCUCUCUGCUCCAGAACACAUACCCUUCAGAGUCUCAGUGGGGACCUAGUUAGCUUUUACUGGGACUCCGAUUUUAAGCAAACCAGUGAGUGUACCCUUUAAAGAUAACCCGAAAGCAGUUCUAUUCUCAUGGGCAUUUGUGUCCACAAAUUAUAGAGUUCAGCUAUAACUGCACAGCUGCACUCAGAACUUAGUGCUUAAAAAUGGCUUAUCCACACAUGUCCUUUGCUGGGCGAAAAUAGCCUCUCAAAGUCACAGGGUCAAACUGUGUCAAUGUGCAGGGGACCUCGUUGUGUGUAGAGGACAGAGGGAGCCUGCAUGUGCUCAAAGCCCCUUCCCUGAGCAGCAGGUCUAGCUGGAAUCAAGCUACAGGGGUGUGUCAUCGGCCCUAGCAGCACCCCUGCACGAACCUGGGGUGUUGCUCAAGUCGUCUGUAGAAGUCAGGGACCCACAGACAGGGGCCUGUAAUAGAUACAAAGAGGUAACUGAUAAAUUUAAAUUUAAUCCCUGCUCUGGCCACCUGGGUGGCUCAGUUGGUUAAGCAUCUGACUCUUGGUUUUGGCUCAGGUCAUGGUGUCACCGUUCGUGGGUUU